rnacentral:rRNA from 1 species
CGAACGGGGUUUAUAUAACAGAACUCUCCGGAGGGAAGAUAUAUAAACCUAGUGGCGGACGGGUGAGUAACGCGUGGGCAACCUGCCCUGUACCGGGGGACAACAGCCAGAAAUGGCUGCUAAUACCGCAUAAGCCUGCUGUGCCGCAUGGCACAGCAGGGAAAACCACGGUGGUACAGGAUGGGCCCGCGUCUGAUUAGUUAGUUGGCAGGGUAACGGCCUACCAAGACAACGAUCAGUAGCCGGCUUGAGAGAGUGGACGGCCACAUUGGGACUGAGGCACGGCCCAGACUCCUGCGGGAGGCAGCAGUGGGGAAUAUUGCACAAUGGGGGGAACCCUGAUGCAGCAAUGCCGCGUGGGUGAAGAAGCACUCCGGUGCGUAAAGCCCUGUCAGCAGGGAAGAAAAUGACAGUACCUGGACAAGAAGCCCCGGCUAACUACGUGCCAGCAGCCGCGGUAAUACGUAGGGGGCAAGCGUUAUCCGGAUUUACUGGGUGUAAAGGGAGCGCAGGCGGCGUGGCAAGUCAGAUGUGAAAACCCGGGGCCCAACCCCGGGAGUGCAUUUGAAACUGCCAUGCUGGAGUGCCGGAGAGGUAAGCGGAAUUCCUAGUGUAGCGGUGAAAUGCGUAGAUUUUUUGAGAAACACCAGUGGCGGAGGCGGCUU